rnacentral:rRNA from 1 species
AGAGUUUGAUCCUGGCUCAGAACGAACGUAGCGGCGCGCUUAACACAUGCAAGUCGUGCGAGAAAGGGGAAACCCCGGUAAAGCGGCGCACGGGUGAGUAACACGUAGGUAAUCUGCCCCUGGGUGGUGGAUAACCUUCCGAAAGGAGGGCUAAUACAGCAUAAGACCACGCUCUCGCAAGGGAGUGAGGUCAAAGCCGG